rnacentral:sRNA from 1 species
UCAAGUGGUGUCUCUCUGUGUAGGGCUGGCUGUCUGGUUUCGUUGUAGACCAGACUGAGCUUGAAGUCAUAGAGAUUUGCCCAUCUCUACCUCCCGGAUGCUGGGACUAAGCGUUUGCACGAGCAGGCCCAGCUGAAUCUGAUUUUUAUAAUUGGUACUGCGAUCAUAGGCAUAUCCCGCCAUGCCUUGCUGUCGGGUGCUAGAUAUCCAGCCCAGGCGCUCAUGUUUCCUGGGCAAGAAUGGAAUACUCUCUCCUAACUGAGCUACACCCACAGCCCCGUGGGAGGCUGUCAAGCAGACGCUGCCCCCCAUAAAACGGACUGCUACUAUAUUUUCUCCUGGGGCAAGCAGUCUUUGGAAGUUGGAGCUCACAUGGGAAGGAAUGAACUGGCCUGAAACACAAGUUGCUCUUUUCAGACCUGCAGUGCAGUGUGCCUUUGGAAGAGACUUUGAUGAAGGUUUGUAUCUGCUUGGGGAUGUUCAACAUUUUGAUCGUCCCAUACACGUCCACUGAAAUGUAAUGCUUGACAUUUCUCAAGAACCAGUUGUGUAGGGGUUUUUUAAAACCAAGUGUAACUGAACUAUAUGUUCAGGGAAAUGGAAAUAAAACAUUGCUUAGUUUA